GGAGCCGUGGUGUAGUUGGUUAACAUGCUAGCCUGUCACGCUGGAGACCGUGGGUUCGAGUCCCAUCGGCUCCGCCA
rnacentral:tRNA from 1 species